UCGCAUAUUAAAAUUUCAAUGACAUUUUUCAGUGGAAUAAGACAAAGGCUAGGGGUUGGUGUAAAAAUAUGUCCCAGUGGAUGUAAAGGGGCAGGGGUGGAGAUAAGUGAGAAUCAGAACAGUCCUCUGAGAUAAACAUUCUAAACCUCACUUUACAUGAAAGGAUAAUAAAGAACGAACAGUUAAAAAAGAUUUAUGCCCAAAACUCCAUAUGUGGUUAGUGAUUAUUAAACUUUCAGUGAACAUGAGAAUUUUCUGGAGAGUUUAUCAAGUAUAUAUCCCAUGAGUCCUCACUCUAUAAAAAUCAAAGUGAAAAUAAGCACUCCAGGUGAUUAUCAUGCCCCCAAGCAUGAGAAUUCCUGCCUGUACUAAUUG
rnacentral:lncRNA from 1 species